AAGUUCUUUUUGCAUGCUUUGGAGGAGAAGAAGCCAGCAGCCCUGUGAGGUCUCAGGAGGAGCUGGGGACUGUGGCCACUACUACAGAUCUGACCACUGCAAUGGCUGAACUUCAAGAGCAUCCCUCCAGAAAGCCAUCUCCUCCCCAAAGGAGGAGUGCUGUGAGACUGAUACCCAGGAGGGUAGGCAGCAAGGUGGUAGCAGGAGAAGAUGAAAGAAGCCUGAGUUCUGAGUAUUAGAUGGAAGAACUAAAAUGAAUUAGAGCUGGGGAAGAUGGGAGACUGCCCCAGUGGAUGAUACUAGACAAAAAGAGAUUGACUCUAAAAUUCUAAAAUAUGGACCUACAGAAGACCCCAAAUAGACAAAGAAGUCUUGCUCAAGAAGAACUAACUAGGGGCUGUGAAUGUAGGUCAUUUGUUACUGUUUGCCUAGCAUGCUCAAAGCCCAGUACCUCAUAAAGCAGGUAUGUGGCUAGUGGCACCAGUCUGUCAUCCCAGCACCAUGGAGGAAGAGCCACGGGAAGUUCAGGCUCAACUCUCACUGCAAAGCUACCUUGAGGGUAGCUUGAGAUACACGAGACCAAGAAGUGCCACUCUUCCUAAUUUUAGCGUACAUUACAAAAACAUUACAAAGCUACAUUGUCAAGAACAGUAUGUCACCGGCAUAAAAAUGGGCACAUACAACAGUGGAAGAGCAUAAAACGCUCAGAAAUAAACUCCUAUGGCUAUAGUCAGCUGAUCUUCAACAAAGAUGCCAUAGGGUGAAGGAAGCAGUCUGUCACCUGGAGGUUUAUCAGUUGGCGUUCUUGAGGCAAACUCUCCCUGGUCAGAGUAAGAGGAGAAAAGCAGACUCCUUGUGAUGUACACUAACAUACACAUGAACGCAGGAGCCCCUCUUCAUACUACACAUGAACACAGGAGCCCCACAAGACACAAAACUGGAAGAAGGGCCAGAUGACUGUGACAGAUCUCCCACUUCAUGGGGCAAGGGAAGCAAUUUUAGGAGAGUAAAUGAUUUCUGGUGAAAAUGAAUAAAAAAAGAACAAAACAAAACAAAAAAUAGAAAACAGAACAUAGCCUGGGACCAAGCUCUUCAGAGGUGCAAACCGCGCUGGGGGCGCAAUGGAGCAACACUCAAGAAGCACUCCAGUGACAGCCUUUCAGGAGACCAAUGGUGCAUCUCUCCAGGAGGGUGUGCCGACCACCCACCCAUCCCCGAUCUCUUUUGUACUGAUUCAUCUUCCCUGAUAACGCAGUUUCGAGGAGAGAAUUGACCAUUCUCCACAUCUCUUGGGAUAUCUCCAUUUAGAAAAUAAGGGGACGUGGAAGUCAGAGCCGGAGAUAAAUGAUCUCGCACGUGUUAACUUGGGUGAGUCUUGCAAAGAUUCUGGGGUACAGACAAACAUACAAUUCCAAUUCAGCUGAGGUUAAGCGGCAUAGCCAAGGUUACCCCAUGAACAUCAGCUUGAGCCUGGUUGAUUCCAAAAUCACUUGAUUUCCCAUUCUAAAGUAUCAAAUAGCGUGUUUUCGAGUUGUGUGAUUUGUGGGGCUCUGCGUUCAUGUAUCUUGAUUUCUGUCCUCUCCCCAUGGCUUCAUAAACGUGUAUAUUGAGUUUUCUCACCAUUGAUAUAAUAAGAGUAAAUGGCUUCAUAAUGAGAGUGUUAAACUAUUAUUGUGUUUUUGCGCUUUGCCUUAAGGCUAUGUGCGGAUGGCCCUAGUAACACAAGGCAGGAAUCUUGAAUUAAUUUCUGCUGCCCUCUUGUGUCAGAGACUAGCAACGACGCCCUAGGAGGAAACGGGUACCUUGGCUUCGGUCUAAUUUCUUUCCUUUUAUUCAUGGAGGGAUCAUGCCACUCUGAGAGAAGAAGUCUGAAUUCUAAAAUUUGAUCUGUUCCAGAGAAUCUUGGCUCACACGAAACACUCAGUAAAAGAGAAAAGAAUGUGACUGUUUCCUUAAAACCAACCAUUUCAGUAUGUAAUGGAAUAAAAUUAAAUCAAUACAACGCAAUGC
ensembl:lincRNA Gm13264 predicted gene 13264